rnacentral:rRNA from 1 species
UACGGAGGGUGCAAGCGUUAUCCGGAUUUACUGGGGUUAAAGGGUGCGUAGGUGGGUUGGGAAGUCAGUGGUGAAAUACUUUCGCUUAACGAAGGAACUGCCAUUGAUACUAUCAAUCUUGAAUGUAGUGGAGGUAGGCGGAAUGCGUCAUGUAGCGGUGAAAUGCUUAGAUAUGACGCAGAACACCAAUUGCGAAGGCAGCUUGCUACACUACUAUUGACACUGAGGCACGAAAGCGUGGGGAUCAAACAGG